GGUGCCUACGGGGCGCAGCAGUGAGGAAUAUUGGUCAAUGGGCGCAGGCCUGAACCAGCCAAGUAGCGUGAAGGAUGACUGCCCUAUGGGUUGUAAACUUCUUUUAUAUGGGAAUAAAGUUUUCCACGUGUGGAAUUUUGUAUGUACCAUAUGAAUAAGCAUCGGCUAACUCCGUGCCAGCAGCCGCGGCAAUACGGAGGAUGCGAGCGUUAUCCGGAUUUAUUGGGUUUAAAGGGUGCGUAGGCGGGCUUUUAAGUCAGCGGUAAAAAUUCGGGGCUCAACCCCGUCCGGUCGUUGAAACUGGG
rnacentral:rRNA from 1 species